UCAUCUUCGGGGGUAGAGCACUGUUUCGGCUAGGGGGUCAUCCCGACUUACCAACCCGAUGCAAACUACGAAUACCGAAGAAUGUUAUCACGGGAGACACACGGCGGGGGCUAACGUCCGUCGUGAAGAGGGAAACAACCCAGACCGCCAGCUAAGGUCCCAAAGUCAUGGUUAAGUGGGAAACGAUGUGGGAAGGCACAGACAGCCAGGAUGUUGGCUUAGAAGCAGCCAUCAUUUAAAGAAAGCGUAAUAGCUCACUGGUCGAGUCGGCCUGCGCGGAAGAUGUAACGGGGCUAAACCAUGCACCGAAGCUGCGGCAGCGACACUAUGUGUUGUUGGGUAGGGGAGCGUUCUGUAAGCCUGCGAAGGUGUGCUGUGAGGGUUGCUGGAGGUAUCAGAAGUGCGAAUGCUGACAUAAGUAACGAUAAAGCGGGUGAAAAGCCCGCUCGCCGGAAGACCAAGGGUUCCUGUCCAACGUUAAUCGGGGCAGGGUGAGUCGACCCCUAAGGCGAGGCCGAAAGGCGUAGUCGAUGGGAAACAGGUUAAUAUUCCUGUACUUGGUGUUACUGCGAAGGGGGGACGGAGAAGGCUAUGUUAGCCGGGCGACGGUUGUCCCGGUUUAAGCAUGUAGGCUG
rnacentral:rRNA from 1 species